rnacentral:rRNA from 1 species
AUUGAACGCUGGCGGCAUGCCUAACACAUGCAAGUCGAGCGGAGCGGCGGACGGGUGAGUAAUUCCUAGGAAUCUGCCUGGUAGUGGGGGAUAACGUCCGGAAACGGGCGCUAAUAUCGUAUAAUACUAGAUGAGCCUAGGUCGAAUUUGCUAGUUGGUGUGGUAAAGGCCUACCAAGGCGACGAUCCGUAACUGGUCUGCGAGGAUGAUCAGUCAGACGGGAACUGAGACACGGUCCAGACUCCUACGGGAGGCAGCAGUGGGGAAUAUUGGGCAAUGGGCGAAAGCCUGAUCCAGCAAUGCCGCGUGGGUGAAGAAGGUCUUCGGAUUGUAAAGCGCUGUAAGUUGGGAGGCGUUACCAACAGAAUAAGCACCGGCUAACUUCGUGCCAGCAGCCGCGGUAAUUC